rnacentral:miRNA from 1 species
GUAGAAGCCCUUCCACAUCUUUCUAGAAUGUCUAUAAACCUAAUUAAAUAAACAAAAUCCACAGACCAGUAAAGCCUGCCUUUACUCUCUUGCCAUGUCCCCAUGGUGGUCUAGGUAAUUGCCUGGGGCCAGGCAAUUACCUAGACCACCAUGGGGACAUGGCAAGAGAGUAAAGGCAGGCUUUACUGGUCUGUGGAUUUUGUUUAUUUAAUUAGGUUUAUAGACAUUCUAGAAAGAUGUGGAAGGGCUUCUACU